AUUGAACGCUGGCGGCAUGCUUUACACAUGCAAGUCGAACGGCAGCACGGGCUUCGGCCUGGUGGCGAGUGGCGAACGGGUGAGUAAUAUACCGGAACGUACCCAGCAGUGGGGGAUAACGUAGCGAAAGUUACGCUAAUACCGCAUACGAUCUAUGGAUGAAAGCAGGGGACCGCAAGGCCUUGUGCUCCUGGAGCGGCCGAUAUCUGAUUAGCUAGUUGGUGAGGUAAAGGCUCACCAAGGCGACGAUCAGUAGCUGGUCUGAGAGGACGACCAGCCACACUGGAACUGAGACACGGUCCAGACUCCUACGGGAGGCAGCAGUGGGGAAUUUUGGACAAUGGGCGCAAGCCUGAUCCAGCAAUGCCGCGUGAGUGAAGAAGGCCUUCGGGUUGUAAAGCUCUUUUGUCAGGGAAGAAACGGUAGAGGCUAAUAUCCUUUGCUAAUGACGGUACCUGAAGAAUAAGCACCGGCUAACUACGUG
rnacentral:rRNA from 1 species